UAGUAACUGUAACUGUAGUUUUACUAUGGUAUAUUAAUAAUCAAUACAACAAUACAAUAAUCACCAAACCAGCUGUUUGUAUCACUGUAAUGUUAGUGUUUUUAUGUGCUUUUAUAUGACAGAUAUCACAGUAAUCAUAUGUUCUGUACCAUGCUUUUAAUACCUUUUAAUGUAAAUCCCCCCCCCAAAAAAAAAAAUCAAAUUAAAAAUAAAUAAUAAAACAUGCAUUUUUCCAUUUUGCAGUUCAUUCAUAUCAGUUUAUAUUUUAAUAUAUAUUUAUUAUAUCUAAAUAUUUUGCUCACAGAUCAUUAUUAACAUUCUGUAUAUAAUUCAAUUUUAUUUUCUCUCCCCUUUUUUUAUUUUUUUGUAUAUUUUUAGCUGAAAAGACGUAAAGGAUGCCCAGUGGUGUUUCUGGAGAGCUAUUCCUUCAGAAAUGGAGAAGACAGAAAGCUGCGGAGGCAGAUAUUUGCAGCAGUCUGAAAUAUCAAGCUCAACAGCUCACUCAAGAGCCAACCCUCACAAACCUUCCUAAAAACUAAAAGAGCUAUUACUGAGUCUCAGCGAAUCUUGCCAUGAUCAGCUCUUCCCAGAAGAGAAGGAAGACCAAGGAAAUGAUUUGCUCAGGAUGAGAAAUGAAGAUGGCCAUCUUGUGCUCAAACAAACAGAAGUCCUCUGAUGAUCUCAUCAGCCAAAUGAGGGGUUUUGACCAAGUGAUGCUCUUGAAAGGAGUGAAAGAAGAGGAUGUGGUAAAUUGUCUUCAGAGAAAAAGCUUCUCAAAAGGUCUUAAAGCAGCUUGAAGAAUGGUCUGGGAUGUUAGGACUGAGAGAUCCUCUGGCUGAGAACAAGCUACACCACAUCAGUGCUGGACAUCAACCACAAACUGUUUCCAGACACGAGAGAAGAAGAACACGAUGGGGAGAUGAAACCAGUUUAGAUGUGAUGAUGGGAAUCAUUAUUUUCUGGAACAGUAUCACAUGUCUUAUAUGUAUCACAUGAUCUGUAUCACAGUUGACUGGAUGGGACUGUGUGACUUUUAAGGACAUUUCAUCACUCAUCUGUGUGAACUGAUUAAUAUAUGAGGUUAAUGUAUUUUUGAUGAUAAUUAUUUUCAUUGAAUCUUAUUUGUCUUGAUGCUACUUUAUCAUCUUUAUAGUCUAUGCUUCAAUAAAAUGAAAAUGCUGAAUAUUGUGUUCUGAAGAUUCUUGGUAAAUACAUAAUUUUACUAGGUAGGCUCAUAUGUGUUUAUUU